UCAAUAUAUUUGCCUGUAUUUACCCCUUAAAAUGAAAUGCUAAUUAGCUGCUAAUGAGGCUAUCAUACAGAACUACAAAUGCCUUUCUCAAGCUUCACGUCACUCACCAGGCCAUGAUGAUCUGGACGAGACUGCCGACUCAAGGCAAAGUUGAAGUUGACUGAUGCAAAGGCGGCGGCUACUAAGAAGAAGGGAGCAGCUGCGGACCAGAAGACUGCAUCCAAGGCAGCACUGGUCCACACCUGCCCUGUCUGUUGGGCAGACCCGAAGACAUUCAAGCAGCACUUUGAGAGCAAGCAUCCCAAGUCUCCAAUGGUCCCUGUACUGGUUGAUGUGCAGGCCUAAUUGACCACACACACUCAAAUGGACCUACAGCUGGGACACACGAUGACCACGAUUUGAAUGCUGCAACUGAGACGGAAUGACGUCGAGGGACUCACGCUGAGACCCUGAGUAUGACUGGACAUGGGCCGGAUAUGUGUGACAACGACCUAAAAAGGGGUGCAGAAGCACACCAGUACCCCAUUUUAUGUUUAUUCCAUGGCCAACAAUCCCUCUAGCUACCCAUUAUUCCCUCAACUUCAUACACUUUGGAACUCUCCAUGUUAUCUCUAUAAACCCACCCUACCUUCACCCCAUGUUCCCUAUGAUGCUUCCUUCACUUGCUCUUCUCCUGAUUUGAUAACAUCUACACUCAGUAACACGUUUAAAGGUGCUUACACUCGGGCCGCGAUAAACAGCAAUUGAACCGCGAGACAGUCCACGUACCAUGUGUAGAGACCAGCGGUCCCGGGUUGUUGUCAGCUCGAAUGUUGUCAUUAAAACAUUGGUUGAUUGGUUGACAAGAUUAACUUUGCUCAUUGGUCAACCAUACGCGGCGGGCACUCAAGACUUCAGCAAAUUUCAUCUUUUGGCUCCUCGAGCGCCGAGUGAGCACCAUGAACCAUGCCGCUUGCAAAACUGCUUGCGUUUUGCCGCCCGCCGCCCUACUCCCAUUGAAGUCUAUGAGACCUUCGCCGCUUAGCGCGGCUCGCCUGUAAGCGCCUUAAAAGUGUUGUGGUGUACUGUUUUUGUUAUCUUUUUGUUAUUUUUUAUUCUGUGGUUCAGACUGAAUGCAGUGGUAAAUUGACAAGAAGGGUAUUGAUAUAGCAUCCAGUUGUUUCUCCAUUUGUAACUCACCCACCAAAAAUCACAAUAUGCUGUUUUACAUUGUGUUAUUUGUGCUGGUCUAAUUCCUCAAACGGAAAAGCAGAAAAAUCUGUGCGCUCUUGAUUAGUAAUAAUAGUUUAUAUGGUGCUCUUCGAUGUCCCAGGUAAGUGGCAUUGAUGAAUAAAUAAGUGAAUCUUUAUUUCAAGUCAGAUGUUUUUAUGUUAUGUAUAAAAAGCAUAUGUAUACAUUGUUUACUAUUUUGAUUUCUUUAAAACAAUGUCAUUGUUGGAGUUUGACGUGAUUGAUGGGUGACUAGGUGCAUUCUUGUCAAAUAAAUAUGCUUCUUCAUUCAUGAUUGUCACGAUCGUUUACGGACGAGAAGGACCAAGGCGCAGC